rnacentral:rRNA from 1 species
GUGCCAGCAGCCGCGGUAAUACGAGGGGGGCAAAUGUUCAACGGAAUCACUGGGCGUAAAGGGAGCGUAGGCGGGUUCUUAAGUUAGGUGUUUAAUCCCGGGGCCCAACCCCGGACCGGCACUUAAAACUGGGAAUCUUGAAUAGUGGAGAGGUCGGUGGAAUUGGGGGUGUAGCGGUGGAAUGCGUAGAGAUCCCCAAGAACACCAGUUGCGAAGGCGGCCGACUGGACACAUAUUGACGCUGAGGCUCGAAAGCAUGGGGAGCAAACAGGAUUAGAUACCCUGGUAGUCC